rnacentral:sRNA from 1 species
ACUCAACGUUAAUUCUUUAAAAAGGGUGAGUUUAAGUUGUAAAAGCGAGCUGCUAGUACUAUGUAUAUAGAACUUGAGCAGAUACUUGAUCAGCUUGUUAGCCCUAAACUUGUUUUUAAGGAGUUU